rnacentral:misc_RNA from 1 species
UUGACCUCGGAUCAAGUAGGGAUACCCGCUGAACUUAAGCAUAUCA